rnacentral:rRNA from 1 species
UGGGGAAUCUUGCGCAAUGGGCGAAAGCCUGACGCAGCAACGCCGCGUGAGCGAAGAAGGCCUUCGGGUUGUAAAGCUCUGUCAGGGGGAAAGAAGGCACCUGGGUUAAUAGCCCAAGGGUUGACGGUACCCCCAAAGGAAGCCACGGCUAACUACGUGCCAGCAGCCGCGGUAAUACGUAGGUGGCAAGCGUUGUCCGGAAUCAUUGGGCGUAAAGAGCGCGUAGGUGGCUUGUCAGGUCUGAUGUGAAAUUUCGGGGCUCAACCCCGAACCUGCAUCGGAAACCGGCUUGCUAGAGUCUGGGAGAGGAGAGUGGAAUUCCUGGUGUAGCGGUGAAAUGCGUAGAUAUCAGGAGGAACACCGGUAGCGAAGGCGGCUCUCUGGAACAGUACUGACGCUGAGGCGCGAAAGCUAGGGGAGCAAACAGG